AAAAAUUUAGUUAAAUUUAUAACGUUAGCUUGUCAAGCUAAAAUCAUUGUACAAAAUAAUUUUUA
rnacentral:tRNA from 1 species